CUGACAGGCUAGCAGAGGCCUUUGCUGAGGAGCUCCACGAGAGGACGAGGAAAGAGUUCUGGGCGUAUAGUCCUGAUGAAGAGCUUGAUGCUCAGGGUCUUCACAAAAUCAAAUACCAGGGAAUCCGUCCAGCUCCUGGCUAUCCUAGCCAGCCAGAUCACACAGAGAAAAAAAUCAUGUGGAAUCUACUUCCUGCCAAUAAGGUGGGUAUCACC